rnacentral:lncRNA from 1 species
UGGAAGUGAACGUUUUAAGUGAAAUUCUUGGCUUACAAAACUUUUACUGAGCAGAGUUGGAAUGCAGAGAAAGAAGCAGAUGGAAAGUGAUUAAAUAAAGAUCAUUUCUAUGAUCUUUCAUGUAGAAAAUUUCACCUAAAAAAAGGACCAGCAAUCA